GACGAACGCUGGCGGCGUGCCUAAUACAUGCAAGUCGAACGCAGUGGGGACGGGUGAGUAACACGUGGGUAACCUCCCAUCAGAGGGGAUAACACUUGGAAACAGGUGCUAAACCGAUACUGAUGGAUGGACCCCCGGUGCAUUAGCUAGUUGGUGAGGUAACGGCUCACCAAGGCCACGAUGCCUAGCCGACCUGAGAGGUGGAUGGGCCACACUGGGACGGAGACACGGCCCAGACUCCGACGGGAGGCAGCAGUAGGGAAGCUUCGGCAAUGGACGAAAGUCUGACCGAGCGACGCCGCGUGAGUGAAGAAGGUUUUCGGAUUGUAAAACUCUGUUGUGAGAGAAGCGGUAUCUAACCAGAAAGCCACGGCUAACUACGUGCCAGCAGCGGCGGUAAUAC
rnacentral:rRNA from 1 species